CUCGUAGGCGGAUUAAUAAGUUUGAAGUGAAAUCCUAUAGCUUAACUAUAGAACUGCUUUGAAAACUGUUAAUCUAGAAUGUGGGAGAGGUAGAUGGAAUUUCUGGUGUAGGGUAAAAUCCGUAGAGAUCAGAAGGAAUACCGAUUGCGAAGGCGAUCUACUGGAACAUUAUUGACGCUGAGAUGCGAAAGCGUGGGGAGCAAACA
rnacentral:rRNA from 1 species